UACGAGGACCCCAAGCGUUAUCCGGAAUUACUGGGCGUAAAGCGUGAGCAUCCGGUUGUAUUAGUCUUAUGUUAAAUCUCACUGCUCAACGGUGAGACCGCGUGAGAAACGGUACGACUCGAGCGGGUAAGAGGCAGGCGGAACGUGCAGUGUAGGGGUGAAAUCCAUUGAUAUUGCACGGAACACCAAAAGCGAAAGCAGCCUGAGAGUGCUCUGCUGACGGGCAAUCACGAAAGUGUGGGGAUCAAAAAGG
rnacentral:rRNA from 1 species